UAUACAAUACAAGAACCAGAUUGUAAAGGAUCAAAGGUAUUUGUAUACUAAAGAAUAGGGGAUUACUCAUGUAAGAUUUCCAUUGGCAAAGAUGAUGACAGCAUGCUGCAAAGGCAACACCUCUCAGGCUGCAAUUGUCUCCUGGUCCAUUAUGUUGCUUAGUGUGGCAGCACCUUAAGGACCACAUAAAAGUUUCUCAAUUGCAAGGGAAGAAACACCCCCUAAAGUCUACACAUUAUUCAAGUCCAAAUCAUCAACUGCAAUAGUUAAGUUAGACAUUAGAUGCGCAAGGGGGAUGUAAAUUGACAGUAUUCAAUAAAUACAUCUAUACAUGCAAUGUUAAGUAUUGUCUGCUUAUCAUGUUAAAUGUGUUAGAAAACCAAAUGAGCUCCCAUUGAAGAUAGUCUUCAUUAGUUUAACAGUGAUUAUGUAUGAAACUCAAGGCCCCUGAGCACUGGGCCCUCUAGCACUAUUACAACACAAUUGUUUAAUGAACUUUCAUCAUGCAAGAGCAAUUUGAGGGUGGACCAAUGCAACCCAUGGGAAAAGCAUUCUGCCAUUACCGACUUGGUUAUAGUAUAAAAACUCGACAAUCCUCUUAAGUUGAUGGUGAAGCAUUUCAACAGAUUGCUAUGAAAGGAAGGGUCCAUAGCUAAUGGAUUAUGGAUGAUUGCAGUACUUCAUGAACCCACCUCUUGAAAGGGAGCCAUGCCUCAGCAGUUGGAGCUCACUGCAAAUAAAUUCUUUCACCUUUGUAUAUGAUAUUCCAUCAUUUCACAGAGACAAUUAGGGACAUGCUGGUGUAGGAGCCAGCUAAAUCAGGGUUCUUUUUGGCAGAACAUCUUUCUAUGAGCAGCUUUGGCCAAGUGAUCUUCCCCUGCCAUUGCCAGCGAGUGUCCUAUUUAGUACCCUUUCUUGGCUAUUUUCAAGGGAGAGAAAAGGCAAAAGGAUAAAUGAAUGAAGAAUUAUUUAGAGAUGUACUAGUUGGAGAGUACUACAUGCACUGGUCCAGUGAAAGCAACCGCCAAAAUAGGAAGGAUAAACAAAAUUACAUACGCCGCACUUGUG